rnacentral:lncRNA from 1 species
UGCAGCCCGUGCCCUUCCCCCACGACGCCCUGGCAGGCCCCGGCAUCCCGAGGCACGCCCGGCAGAUCAACACACUCAGCCACGGGGAGGUGGUGUGUGCCGUGACCAUCAGCAACCCCACGAGGCACGUCUACACAGGUGGCAAGGGCUGCGUGAAGAUCUGGGACAUCAGCCAGCCAGGCAGCAAGAGCCCCAUCUCCCAGCUGGACUGCCUGGUGAGAAUCCCAGGGCUGCUGCGCCGCCUCCAGCUGGUGUAGGAGGAUGGGGCAGCCUGGGCCACAGGGGAGAGCCCCAGGGCCUGGCUCAGCAUCGUAUUGGCUGAGCAACUUUAGGCAAGCUGACUAACCUCUCUGAGCCUCAGUUGUGCCUUCUGUGUGUGGGGCUGAUUCUGACCUCCUGGUAUUCAUGAAAGAUCAAAGGGUUGUGAAUUUGAGGAAUGGGGACAGCCUGGCAGCUGCUGGGUAUAGGGGGAGGCUGUAAGCAGGACUGGUGAGGGUGCUCGGUGUUGCUGGACAGGACUCUCCUGGUGCCCAGGAGGGGAAGUAGGCAGCACUCAGCCCUGCCCCUUCUCCCUCCAGAACAGGGACAAUUACAUCCGCUCCUGCAAGCUGCUCCCUGAUGGGCGCACGCUCAUCGUGGGCGGCGAGGCCAGCACGCUCACCAUCUGGGACCUGGCCUCGCCCACGCCCCGCAUCAAGGCCGAGCUGACGUCCUCGGCUCCCGCCUGUUAUGCCCUGGCCAUUAGCCCUGACGCCAAAGUCUGCUUCUCCUGCUGCAGCGAUGGGAACAUUGCUGUCUGGGACCUGCACAACCAGACCCUGGUCAGGCAGUUCCAGGGCCACACAGAUGGGGCCAGCUGCAUAGACAUCUCCCAUGAUGGCACCAAACUGUGGACAGGGGGCCUGGACAACACGGUGCGCUCCUGGGACCUGCGGGAGGGCCGACAGCUACAGCAGCAUGACUUCACUUCCCAGAUCUUCUCGCUGGGCUACUGCCCCACUGGGGAGUGGCUGGCUGUGGGCAUGGAGAGCAGCAACGUGGAGGUGCUGCACCACACCAAGCCUGACAAGUACCAGCUGCACCUGCACGAGAGCUGCGUGCUCUCCCUCAAGUUCGCCUACUGCGGCAAGUGGUUCGUGAGCACUGGGAAAGAUAACCUUCUCAACGCCUGGAGGACGCCUUAUGGAGCCAGCAUAUUCCAGGUCGGAGCAUCAGAGAGGGGCAGAGGAGGGCAAUUGUUGCCGAGAGAACCGAGAUGGUGUUGAGCACUGGAAAAUGAAUUCCUGUCUUUUUUCUCCCUGCACCCCACGCCUUCCUGCUGCUUCUCCUCGUCUUCCUCCUCCAGUCUAAAGAAUCCUCGUCUGUCUUGAGUUGUGACAUUUCAGCGGAUGACAAAUACAUUGUAACAGGCUCUGGUGACAAGAAGGCCACAGUUUAUGAGGUCAUCUACUAAACAAGAACUCCAGCAGGGCUGUCAAACUCUGGGAGAAACCGACUCGGCUCUGACAGGGAGACCCCCAGGCGAGGGGCCCCGAGGAUGGCGGAGGAUGGGCCGCAGGCAGCCGAGCGUUCAGGGCUGCGCUCCGGCCGGCUGAGAGGGCACGUGCCCCGUCACAGUCUGGACUCCUGGGCCUGGAUUGAUGUGUCUCACAGACUCGGAAGGGUUCUGCUCCUCCUCCUCCCCCUGAACAAUGCUGGCAGUUGCUACAAAUAGAUUUAUUGGAGGCUUAUGGCUCCGGUUCCCCCAC